UUGAAUGCUUCUCCUUUCCCUCUUCUGAUUAAGGAAAAUAUUACUCAUUUCUUGGGCAACAACCUGCAGAUGGAGGAACAGAUCGAGGAACUUAAAUGGCAACGAGAUGUAGCUCAAUCUAGGGUAGAUAAUUUGCUUAAAUCAACAGCGGAAGAGAUAUCAUCUUCAAGUUCAAUGGAUAACAGCAGAAGAAGAAGAAGUUACGAUUCAACAGAUUUUGACGAGCCUCGUAUGCUAAAAAACUUGGGGAAGAGUAACUUGUACUCUCCUGAUGAGGAUGGUUUCCUGCUAGAUGAUACUACCCCUCAAUUUCCGGAGCAUGACCUACAAGAUAAGUGGGAGGAGAUGGCUCAACACACCACCCAAGAACCAGAAGAUGCUUGCAAAGAAGUUAGAUGCAUUGAAGUGAACAAUGGAGAAGCAGAAAGAGUUCAAAUUCAAGACUCAAUAUGCGACACUGUUGAAAAGAAAGAAUAUGAACAAAACUACAAAUCCUUUAUACCCGAUGAGUCCGAAAUGGAAUAUGCUGAUUCUUCUUUAAAAAAGAUAGAUAUGGAGUUGAGUUUAUAUGCUAAACUUGAAGCUGAAGAUGAGCCAGUAAUUAAGAAGCUGCUAGAAGACGACCAAGAGACUGACCAGUCUCUGGAGAAACUAAAGCAAUCUUCAGUGAAAGAAGACAUGAAACAGUAUUCGUGUAGGGAUGAUAAGUCAGAGCAGGUAACAACAUCACCCGCUGAGGAAGAGAAAUGUGUACAAGUCCAUGAAGGCUCUGACAAACUUGAAGCCAAGGAUGAGAUAACUAUGAACAUAUUAGAAGAAUUCCACGAGACUCCGCAACCUGUGGACAAGGAAGACCACAAAAUUAGUUGGACUUCAAAGAAAGAAGACAUAGAACAGAAUUUCUCUAUGGAUCAGUCAGAGCAAUUAAAUAAAUCACCCUCUGCUGAAGAGAAAUGUGUAGAAGUGUAUGGAGGCUCUGAUAAAGAUGAUAACACAUAUGAGGCUUUGAAGAAAAAGGUGAAGGAAAUGCAGAAGACAAUUGAAUACUUCAUGAGCAUGCAAGCAGAAGAGAAACAAUCUCCUUCUUUUAAUAGGAUAGAUGACUAUAUGAGUCCAGGAGAUUACUUCAAGAUGAGAAGAAGUCGAAGCUGCAGAGAAAAUCUCUUGUUUACAAAGGCAUCUGUUGCUGCUGUUGCUGCUGCUGCUAGUGGAGGCUUCAUAUUC
rnacentral:lncRNA from 1 species